GCUUGGAUGAACAUUAAUGCUGCAUUUUACUUUCUACGAACUCGCAAACUGCACAAUGGUCUCGUCGGUUAACACACCAGUUUCAAUGGCAACGUUUUGUUGCAAAUACGUAAUAUUUACGAUAUGCAGCAGAUUGGGAAGAAGAGUCGAAUCGUUAAGGGUUCGAUACCGACGAACCAUCGUUACGAUCGCUGACAAUAAUGCAACCUGGUUGACGUAUUACAAUAUUUUAUUGCUAAUAAUUUACUGCGUAUUCGUGAUUUACAUGCGGCAAGAAAAAUAACGUGAAAACGCACGGAGAAUAAUCUGCGAACCAAAACAACGUACGAUUUAAAAAAGCGAGCGGGGAUACGCGGAUACUCGUACUUGAGCGCGAGUAUCGUUCGUGGGAACUAUGGGAAAAUAUGUACGUAUUAUUAAUAAAUAAACAAGUCAACGCAAUAUUUCAGUAAUAAAAAUUCAUAAUUCCUCUUCAAUUUCAAUAAACGUCGCCUAAUACAUUUGUCCUUCUUUGUACCAUAGCAUAUAUACUUCACUUUUUUUUUUCUUUUAUUGUUUUCCUUUUUUAACAUAUGCACAGGAUUAAGUCGUGCGCAUGUGUGUUGAAACGUUCGUUUAUAUAUGUAUAUAUAUACAUGUAUACACGCGUAUAUGUAUAUGUAUAUAUAUAUAUAUGCAUCUAUUAUGCACACACGACACACACAUACUUUGCGUAUCUCUACUAGAAUCUCGCCUGUUCUUACUAACAUACAUACAUACGAAACAUGCGCAUGCGAAAUGUCACAUGAACACGCGCGUCGAUAUUAUAUAUACUCUAUAUGUGUGUAAGUGUAACUGGUAGCACUUUUGCCGCAGCGACACGCGUGCACACAUAUACCUUUUCGACUGAAUAACAUGUAUACAUUAUAUUCCAAUUCAAAUCACAAAAACACGGUCUCCUGUACGACAAUCGUGAGAAUAAAAAUAAGUGUCGCGAUAGUUGUACUAAUUAAUAUAGUAUAAUAGUAGUAGUAAUAGUAGUAGUAAUAGUAAUGGUAAUAGUGAUAGCAGUAGCAGUGAUAAUAAUAGCACUGUUGGUAUAUUUUCUCUUCCUUUUACUUUUUAUCCAUAAUAACGGUUCUUUCCUCCUAUUUUUUUUUUUUUAAAUCUUCCGAGUCUUAUGCAUACGUAUCGAUAAUUAAUCACCAUAGCCGCUUACCAAUAAUCACCGUAUAUACAAUGUACAUACAAGUAUAACAUUUGUUGUAUGCCGUUUAACAAGAUUUACAAUUAUCUUCUUUUG
rnacentral:misc_RNA from 1 species